GGAGUACAAGCUGCCAAAGCUGCAAAAAUGAGAUGUAUAGCAGUGACGACAACACUAUCAGAAGAUACUCUAAAUGCGGCGGAGCCAUCACUCAUCAGAAAGGAGAUAAGUGAUAUUUCACUUGAAGAUAUCCUCAAUGGUGGCUCUGGUAGCCAUAAUGUGAUGGUGCAGGAAUCUCAAUCCAUUAACGAUCUAGCUCUCUCUUUUCCUGAGCCCAAUAUGACAGGGAGUAUCACAGAGCUGGAUAAUUAUGUAACAAGUGGUGCCAUAUCCUCGAUGGGAGGGAACAAAAAGUCAAAUAUGCUUAGACUGACAUGAAUAAUACUCGUGCAAA
rnacentral:misc_RNA from 1 species